rnacentral:lncRNA from 1 species
UAAAAGGCUGUCAGAUAGUCUUGAUAUAAUGGAUUACAAAUACUAAUCUCUUAUUAGAGUUUAGAAUUAAUGAAGGGCUCUGAUACAUAUUCAGCUUUGGAGGAAAUUUUGAAGAAACCAGAACUGGUUGUGUUUUAGUCAGGGUUUUAUUUUUCAAAAAUAUCUAUAAGAUACACCUUUUUAGAACAGUAGUAAUAUCAUAUCAUAUUGAAAGCAAACAUUUAUCAUCAGGUCAAGGAAGAGCAUGGCAGUUGCACAGUGAACAUUUUGGAGUAGGGCGUAUGUACUACAAUGACAUAUGCCUAAAAUAAAAAGGAACUUAAAUUAAGUUUUACAGUAAAUCUAUCUGUAACUUUCCAUACUGACGAACUUUUGUUUUAAUUACGCUUUCGUGGAUCAAGCCUUUAACCUCCUAGGAAGUGUUACACAGUGUUUUAUUUUCAGUCUAUUCAAGCUGAGCCAUUGUAACCCAGCCACAUAGAACAGAGGUAGAUUAAUAAAUGCCACGGGGAAGCCAUGGUUACCUGUGCAGGUAAAAUGAGCUGAGUCAAGGGCACAAUAAUGCCCUGUCUUUGUGUUUGACACCAGACUUAAAAUACUAAAUCUUGAUUAGGCAAAACAUAGGAAUUUUAUUUUUAAGGGAACAGUCCCUUUUAAUAUUUGGAAUAAGAUUCAUUGUUUAAUGUUAACAUUAUUAUAUCUUAGUAAUUUUGAGGUCAUAAUUUAGAAGAACUGAAUUUAACUUUCAGUAGCUUGUUAGAAAAAUCCAAGAGCUAGAACGUAUUGCUAAAGGGAACAUUGGACAGUUCUACUUUGGAAGCUUGUGUCCUGUCCUGUUCUUGUGUCAGACUCAGUGGGAAUAUCUGCAAGGAGAUUUGUAAAGGGCGUCCAUUGAAGGCUACCCUUUAACUAUCAGUCGUAGUUCAUGAGCUGCAGGAGCCAAGCACGGCACCUCUGAACUCAGGCGUGCCCUGACUCUGCUCGCUCAAGUUCCUAUCUAGAGUUCUGUCACGGCAUGUAUAGUUACAGUGACAGGGUGUUCUCUGAAUGAGCACAUUAGCUCAUAGCGGAUGACAUUUGGAACCACCUUGCACCCCUUUUGUUUCUAUUUCUGACAGUGGUCAUAAACCAAGAGAAAUACUCUUACUUGCUGUAAAUGGUUCAACGUGGCCCCCCAAAAACAUGGAUGGGAAAAUUGCUGCGUGAAUGUAUCAGACAUUUAAUCAUGAAAGGGAAGGAUUUGAGAUUUCUUAUUUAAAGGAAAUACUGAAUACAAUAGAAUGUACUUGGAAAUCAGUGAGUCAUCGGCAGCACUGUUGCGGUGCAUACAGAGAGAACCUUUUGUGCCUUUUUUGCCUGCAGUGUUUAUUUCUCUUCCAUGAACUUUAAGAAUGUUGAUUAUUGCACCUUGUUCUUUGGUAAAUAGACUUAAGAAUUUUUCUAAAAAGAGCCAUUUCUUGUUAGAUGAUAGCUACCUUAGUAAACACGAGGGGAUGUAUCAUAUUUGUAUGUGUUUGAAGCCCGGCCUUUUCUAUGUAGAGAGCAGGACAUUUCUUUUAAUGUAUUCAUUUGUGUGUAUGUGUGUGUAUUUAUAUAUUACAUAUAUGUAGUUAUUUAAGUACUUACACGUGAAAUUGAGCAUCAUGUUGGUGUGGUGACCAGAAGUAGUAAGGUGCUAGACGGUCACAUUAAGAGCACAGCCGAGUGUGCAAUCAGUCACUGACUGGUGAGUUUGUAAACUAGGUUCAGUUUUUGAACCACAGAAUACCUCAUGUGUAAAUACAGUGUUCAUGACUUAACUGAGAUACAGUUAUUGUAAAAAAAAAUGUGAAGCCACUGGCUGGCUCCUGCCUUCUGAGUUUUUAUUUUUACCUCCUUUUUGGAAAGGAGUUGUUUUUGUUUUGUUAUUUUUUAAAUAGGGUUUACAGCUAGAAAUUUGAAUGCCAAAGUUCUAUUUAUUAAACUAAUAAAAAACGUUUUCAAUGUUAAUGGCUAGUAUUUUUCCACUGGACUAUUGUUUGUUGAUGUUGGAAUUUGUAUUUACAGAGAAAUAAAUUUUUUAGAAAAAUAA